UACGUAGGGGGCUAGCGUUGUCCGGAAUUAUUGGGCGUAAAGAGCUCGUAGGCGGUUUGUCGCGUCUGCUGUGAAAACUCGGGGCUUAACCCCGGGCCUGCAGUGGGUACGGGCAGACUAGAGUGCGGUAGGGGAGACUGGAAUUCCCGGUGUAGCGGUGAAAUGCGCAGAUAUCGGGAGGAACACCUAUGGCGAAGGCAGCUCGCUGGGACGUUACUGACGCUGAGACGCGAAAGCGUGGGGAGCAAACAGG
rnacentral:rRNA from 1 species